rnacentral:rRNA from 1 species
UCAUGCUAGAAAGAGCGUAUGGUGGAUGCCUUGGCACUAAGAGCCGAUGAAAGACGUGAUAAGCUGCGAAAAGCUUCGGGGAGGAGCAAAUAUCCUUUGAUCCGGAGAUAUCUGAAUGGGGAAACCCACUUGAGCAAACCUCAAGUAUCCUUAAGCCAAUACAUAACUUAAGGAAGGGAACCCGGUGAACUGAAACAUCUAAGUAGCCGGAGGAAGAGAAAACAACAUGUGAUUCUGUGAGUAGCGGCGAGCGAAAACGGAAGAGCCCAAACCAGCGUGCGUGCAUGCUGGGGUUCGGACCGCGGAAUUGAUUCAACGAGUUUAGCAGAACGGUUUUGGGAAAGCCGGCCAGAGAGGGUGAAAGCCCCGUAAGCGAAAGAUGAGUUGACAUGGCGGUAUCCAGAGUAGGUCGAGACACGUGGAACCUUGACUGAAUACGCGGGGACCACCCCGUAAGGCUAAAUACUCCUUAGUGACCGAUAGCGCAUAGUACUGUGAAGGAACGGUGAAAAGGACCCCGGGAGGGGAGUGAAACAGAACCUGAAACCAUAUGUUUACAAGCUGUGGAAGAGCUUUAUAUGCUCAACCGCGUACUUUUUGUAGAACGGUCCGGCGAGUUGCGCUGGCUGGCGAGGUUAAGCACCAAAGGUGUGGAGCCGAAGGGAAACCAAGUCUUAAUAGGGCGAAAGAGUCAGUCGGAGCAGACCCGAAACCGGGUGAUCUAUCCAUGUCCAGGUUGAAGUUGCCGUAAAAGGCAAUGGAGGACCGAACCCACAUCCGUUGAAAAGGGUGGGGAUGAGGUGUGGAUAGGGGAGAAAUUCCAAUCGAACCCGGAGAUAGCUGGUUCUCCUCGAAAUAGCUUUAGGGCUAGCCUCAUAUAAGUCUUGCGGAGGUAGAGCACUGAAUUUCCUAGGGGGCGUCAAAGCUUACCGAAGAAUAUCAAACUCCGAAUGCCGUGUAGAUGUUGUAUGGGAGUCAGACUGUACGAGAUAAGUUGGACAGUCAAAAGGGAAAGAGCCCAGACCUGCAGCUAAGGCCCCAAAAUGUGUGUUAAGUGGAAAAGGAUGUGGGAUUUCAAAGACAACUAGGAUGUUGGCUUAGAAGCAGCCAUACAUUCAAAGAGUGCGUAAUAGCUCACUAGUCGAGAGGUCCUGCGCCGAAAAUGUCCGGGGCUGAAACACACUGCCGAAGCUCAGGAAUGAUCCUAGAUCAUUGGUAGAGGAGCAUUGUAUACGGGACGAAGCAGUACCGAUAAGGAGCUGUGGACUGUAUAGAAGAGAGAAUGCCGGAAUGAGUAGCGAGAGGAAGGUGAGAAUCCUUCCGGCCGAAUAUCUAAGGUUUCCAGAGUAAAGCUGAUCUGCUCUGGGUAAGUCGGGGCCUAAGGCCAGGUCGAAAGACGUAACCGAUGGACAACAGGUUGAAAUUCCUGUACCUUAAGUAAACAGAACUGUGGGGACACGUGUGGAGAGCACAAGCCGGAAAUGGAAAAGCCGGUGCAAGCGAGGUAGGAGAUGAAUAGGCAAAUCCGUUCAUCAAUCCGAAGACGUGAUGCGGACCGAAUUAAGAGUAGGGAAGUGUGUGAGCCAUGCGUCAAGAAAAGCCGCUAUUGUUUUACUUAAGCCCGUACCGUAAACCGACACAGGUGGAUGAGGAGAGAAUCCUAAGGCCGACGGGAGAAGCAUUGUUAAGGAACUCGGCAAAAUGACUCCGUAACUUCGGGAGAAGGAGUGCCAGCGAGAGCUGGCCGCAGAGAAUUGGCCCAAGCAACUGUUUAGCAAAAACACAGGUCUAUGCAAAACCGUAAGGUGAAGUAUAUGGGCUGACGCCUGCCCGGUGCUGGAAGGUUAAGAGGAGAGGUUAGCGGCAACGCGAAGCUUUGAAUUUAAGCCCCAGUAAACGGCGGCCGUAACUAUAACGGUCCUAAGGUAGCGAAAUUCCUUGUCGG